GACCUGAUAGUGCAGCUGGUAACAUGCCUACCAUUCUUGAAGGCACAAGAACACUUGCGUGGGAGUCCCUUGUUCGAUUCGAGGUUGGGUCG